rnacentral:rRNA from 1 species
UACAGAGGUGGCAAGCGUUGUUCGGAAUUACUGGGCGUAAAGGGCGCGUAGGCGGCCCACUAAGUCAGACGUGAAAUCCCCCGGCUUAACCUGGGAACUGCGUCUGAUACUGGAGGGCUUGAGUAUGGGAGAGGGAUGUAGAAUUCCAGGUGUAGCGGUGAAAUGCGUAGAUAUCGGGAGGAACACCAGUGGCGAAGGCGAGUCUCUGGGAUGAUACUGACGCUGAUGCUCGAAAGCUAGGGGAGCAAACGGG